AAUAGAUACCCUGGUAGUCCACGCCGUAAACGAUGAGUGCUAAGUGUUAGAGGGCUUCCACCCUUUAGUGCUGCAGCUAACGCAUUAAGCACUCCGCCUGGGGAGUACGGCCGCAAGGCUGAAACUCAAAGGAAUUGACGGGGGCCCGCACAAGCGGUGGAGCAUGUGGUUUAAUUCGAAGCAACGCGAAGAACCUUACCAGGUCUUGACAUCCUUCGCUACCUCUAGAGAUAGAGGGUUCCCCUUCGGGGGACGGAGUGACAGGUGGUGCAUGGUUGUCGUCAGCUCGUGUCGUGAGAUGUUGGGUUAAGUCCCGCAACGAGCGCAACCCUUGACCUUAGUUGCCAGCAUUCAGUUGGGCACUCUAAGGUGACUGCCGGUGACAAACCGGAGGAAGGUGGGGAUGACGUCAAAUCAUCAUGCCCCUUAUGACCUGGGCUACACACGUGCUACAAUGGAUGGUACAAAGGGUCGCGAAACCGCGAGGUGGAGCUAAUCCCAAAAAACCAUUCUCAGUUCGGAUUGCAGGCUGC
rnacentral:rRNA from 1 species